rnacentral:rRNA from 1 species
AUCGCCUCUUGAACUAGAUAAGAGGUCCAGCCUGCCCAGUGAAAAUAUUCAACGGCCGCGGUAUCCUAACCGUGCGAAGGUAGCGUAAUCACUUGUUCUUUAAAUGAGGACUAGUAUGAAUGGCACCACGAGGGUUUUACUGUCUUCUUUUUUUAAUCAGUGAAACUAAUCUCCCCGUGAAGAAGCGGGAAUUUAAUUAUAAGACGAGAAGACCCUAUGGAGCUUUAAACAAACAACAUUUGCUGCACAUAACACUUUUACUUUUAAAAAGUAUAGCAUUAUGAUUUUUAGUUUUUGAUUGGGGUGAUCACGGAGCAAAAUGAAACCUCCACGCCGAAAGGGUUGUACCCUGAGCAAAAAGCUACAGCUUUAAGCACUAAGAAAUUAACGCAAUUUGACCCAAUAUUUUGAUCAACGAACCAAGUU